rnacentral:rRNA from 1 species
UACGGAGGGUGCGAGCGUUGUCCGGAAUCACUGGGCGUAAAGGGCGCGUAGGUGGCCCGUCAAGUGGCUGGUGAAAUCCCGCGGCUCAACUGCGGGGCUGCCGGUCAUACUGGCGAGCUAGAGCACGGUAGGGGCAGAUGGAAUUCCCGGUGUAGCGGUGGAAUGCGUAGAGAUCGGGAAGAAUACCAGUGGCGAAGGCGUUCUGCUGGGCCGUUGCUGACACUGAGGCGCGACAGCGUGGGGAGCAAACAGG